rnacentral:rRNA from 1 species
GACGAACGCUGGCGGCGUGCUUAACACAUGCAAGUCGAACGGAAAGGCCCUGCUUUUGUGGGGUGCUCGAGUGGCGAACGGGUGAGUAACACGUGAGUAACCUGCCCUUGACUUUGGGAUAACUUCAGGAAACUGGGGCUAAUACCGGAUAGGAGCUCCUGCUGCAUGGUGGGGGUUGGAAAGUUUCGGCGGUUGGGGAUGGACUCGCGGCUUAUCAGCUUGUUGGUGGGGUAGUGGCUUACCAAGGCUUUGACGGGUAGCCGGCCUGAGAGGGUGACCGGCCACAUUGGGACUGAGAUACGGCACAGACUCAUACGGGAGGCAGCAGUGGGGAAUAUUGCACAAUGGGCGGAAGCCUGAUGCAGCAACGCCGCGUGCGGGAUGACGGCCUUCGGGUUGUAAACCGCUUUCGCCUGUGACGAAGCGUGAGUGACGGUAAUGGGUAAAGAAGCACCGGCUAACUACGUG